ACGCUCGACACCUACUGGAGGCAGCAGUAGGGAAUCUUCCACAAUGGACGCAAGUCUGAUGGAGCAACGCCGCGUGAGUGAAGAAGGUUUUCGGAUCGUAAAGCUCUGUUGUUGGUGAAGAAGGAUAGAGGUAGUAACUGGCCUUUUAUUUGACGGUAAUCAACCAGAAAGUCACGGCUAACUACGUGCCAGCAGCCGGGUAAUCUGAGCGGGCUGGCAAGGC
rnacentral:rRNA from 1 species